rnacentral:rRNA from 1 species
GACGAACGCUGGCGGCGCGCCUAACACAUGCAAGUCGAACGAGCAAGAGAGAGCUUGCUUUCUCGAGCGAGUGGCGAACGGGUGAGUAACGCGUGAGGAACCUGCCUCAAAGAGGGGGACAACAGUUGGAAACGACUGCUAAUACCGCAUAAGCCCACGGUGCCGCAUGGCACAGAGGGAAAAGGAGCAAUCCGCUUUGAGAUGGCCUCGCGUCCGAUUAGCUAGUUGGUGAGGUAAUGGCCCACCAAGGCAACGAUCGGUAGCCGGACUGAGAGGUUGAACGGCCACAUUGGGACUGAGACACGGCCCAGACUCCUACGGGAGGCAGCAGUGGGGAAUAUUGCACAAUGGGGGAAACCCUGAUGCAGCGACGCCGCGUGGGGGGAANAAGGUCUUCGGAUUGUAAACUCCUGUUGUUGGGGAAGAUAAUGACGGUACCCAACAAGGAAGUGACGGCUAACUACGUG